rnacentral:ncRNA from 1 species
UUUUAUGAUUUUAUUAUAAAUUUAUUUUACAUACAAAUUUUAGUAUAAAAAUUUGAUUAUUUUAAUAAUAAUUUAAUUUAUGUAGUAAUUAAUUUUAAAAUAUUUAAGAAAUUAAGAUUUAGUAAUAUUUAAAUAAAUAACAAAUUUUGUGCCAGCAGUUGCGGUUAUACAAAAAUUUAAUUAAAAUUUUUCAGUAUAUAAUAAAUAAUAUUAAAAUUAAAAUAAAAAUUAAAUUAUUAAGUAAAAUUUUAAUUUAAUAAAAUUUUAUAAUUAAUUUAUGAUUUAAUAAAUUUAUAAAAAAACUAGGAUUAGAUACCCUAUUAUUGAAAUUUAAAUUAAAAAUACUAAAAUAGUAUAUAAUAAUUUAUUGAAACUUAAAUAAUUUGGCGGUAUUUUAGUUCAUUUAGAGGAAUCUGUCUAAUAAUUGAUAAUCCACGAAUAAAUUUACUUAAUUUAAAAUUUUAUAUAUCGUUGUUAAAAAAAUAUUUUAAAAUAAAAAUAAUAUUUAAAAAUUAAAAUUAAAAAUUAAUUCAGAUCAAGAUGUAGAUUAUAAUUAAGAAUAUGAUGGAUUACAAUAAAAUUAUUUAAAUGGAUUUUAUUUUGUAAAUAAAUAAAUAAAGGUGGAUUUAAAUGUAAAUUUAUUUAAUAUAAUAAAUUGAUUUAAAAUUAAAAUAUGUACAUAUUGCCCGUCGCUUUCAUUUUAAAGUUGGAAUAAGUCGUAACAAAGUAGAAGUACUGGAAAGUGUUUCUAGAAUGAA